UACGGAGGGGGCGAGCGUUGUCCGAAUUUAUUGGGCGUAAAGCGCGUGUAGGCGGAUACCCAAGCCUUUGGUGAAAGCCCGGAGCUCAACUCCGGAACGGCCGAGGGGACUGUGUGUCUGGAGGCAGGCAGAGGAGAGUGGAAUUCCUGGUGUAGCGGUGGAAUGCGUAGAGAUCAGGAAGAACACCCAUGGCGAAGGCAGCUCUCUGGGCCUGUACUGACGCUGAGACGCGAAAGCGUGGGGAGCGAACGGG
rnacentral:rRNA from 1 species